rnacentral:sRNA from 1 species
GAUCGAUCGUGGAACCUAACUUAAACAGUUCGUUGCUGUUGUGGAUGUCGGCUAACACAUAGAAGAAACCUUUGUUUUCGUUCAUGUUUCCUAAAUCAAGUUUGUAUUGUCGGGGAUCUUCCACAAAGGUUAAGCUGUUAGCAUCUACAUCUAACACGGUUUUAUCAACACCAGCAAAACUGUUUUUAAUGACAAAAACAAUUUGUUGCUUUUCAAAAUCAUUGAGUUUUUCCAUGCGUUGCUUUAACUCACCUACACUAAAGCUUUUAAUCGCUUUGUGUAACGGAACACUAAAGUCCUUUUCUUUAAAUUGCUGGUUGCUAAAGUUACUGCGAUAUUUAAAUUUGUACUGGUAACCUUCUGGAAUUUUG